UACGUAGGGUGCGAGCGUUGCCCGGAUUUAUUGGGCGUAAAGGGCGCGCAGGCGGUCGAUCAAGUCGAGUGUGAAAGCCCCCGGCUCAACUGGGGAGGGUCAUUCGAUACUGAUCGACUCGAAGGCAGGAGAGGGUAGUGGAAUUCCCGGUGUAGUGGUGAAAUGCGUAGAUAUCGGGAGGAACACCAGUGGCGAAGGCGACUACCUGGCCUGUUCUUGACGCUGAGGCGCGAAAGCUAGGGGAGCAAACGGG
rnacentral:rRNA from 1 species